CUUCGGAUCGUAAAGCUCUGUUAUUAGGGAAGAACAAGUACCGUUUGAAUAAGGCGGUACCUUGACGGUACCUAACGAGAAAGCCACGGCUAACUACGUGCCAGCAGCCGCGGUAAUACGUAGGUGGCAAGCGUUGUCCGGAAUUAUUGGGCGUAAAGCGCGCGCAGGCGGUCCUUUAAGUCUGAUGUGAAAGCCCACGGCUCAACCGUGGAGGGUCAUUGGAAACUGGGGGACUUGAGUGCAGAAGAGGAGAGUGGAAUUCCACGUGUAGCGGUGAAAUGCGUAGAGAUUUGGAGGAACACCAGUGGCGAAGGCGACUCUCUGGUCUGUAACUGACGCUGAGGCGCGAAAGCGUGGGGAGCGAACAGGAUUAGAUACCCUGGUAGUCCACGCCGUAAACGAUGAGUGCUAAGUGUUAGAGGGUUUCCGCCCUUUAGUGCUGCAGCUAACGCAUUAAGCACUCCGCCUGGGGAGUACGGCCGCAAGGCUGAAACUCAAAGGAAUUGACGGGGGCCCGCACAAGCGGUGGAGCAUGUGGUUUAAUUCGAAGCAACGCGAAGAACCUUACCAGGUCUUGACAUCCUCUGCCAACCCUAGAGAUAGGGCGUUCCCCUUCGGGGGACAGAGUGACAGGUGGUGCAUGGUUGUCGUCAGCUCGUGUCGUGAGAUGUUGGGGUUAGUCCCGC
rnacentral:rRNA from 1 species